GUGGGGAAUCUUGCGCAAUGGGCGAAAGCCUGACGCAGCCAUGCCGCGUGAAUGAUGAAGGUCUUAGGAUUGUAAAAUUCUUUCACCGGGGACGAUAAUGACGGUACCCGGAGAAGAAGCUCCGGCUAACUUCGUGCCAGCAGCCGCGGUAAUACGAAGGGGGCUAGCGUUGCUCGGAAUUACUGGGCGUAAAGGGCGCGUAGGCGGACAGCUUAGUCAGAGGUGAAAGCCCAGGGCUCAACCUUGGAAUUGCCUUUGAUACUGGCUGUCUGUAGUUUGGGAGAGGUGAGUGGAACUCCGAGUGUAGAGGUGAAAUUCGUAGAUAUUCGGAAGAACACCAGUGGCGAAGGCGACUCACUGGCCCAAUACUGACGCUGAGGCGCGAAAGCGUGGGGAGCAAACAGGAUUAGAUACCCUAGUAGUCC
rnacentral:rRNA from 1 species